CUGCUCACUUUGGUAGCACAUAUACUAAAACUGGAAUGAUACAGAGAAGAUUAGCAUGGCCCCUGCACA
rnacentral:snRNA from 1 species